rnacentral:lncRNA from 1 species
GAAGACCUAAUUUAAGCCCCACAUCGUCCCAUAUGCAUGUGAACGUGUUCCCAUCAAAUUGCCCGUUCACUCAAGCAAAUCCAAGUCAUGCUCAUUAUUUCACUUGAUUUUUGGACUACCCUACAGUUUUGACGCCAUUGAAUUCCUGUCAUUAUGGUGACCCAAAAUCAAAAUCUUUUGUACUCGGAGAUUUUAAUUUUGUUUGAAGGCGAGAUUGCACACGUACGCGACAUUAUUACUGUGAAUUUGUGAUCUACCUCUAGUUAAUUUCUAAUCUGAUGUUUUAUCAUAGAUUAUUUUCAUGUCUCUUGUUGACAUAAGAACACGAAGUUAACAAUAAUAAAAACUAGUAUUAGAAUAUUCCCCCC